rnacentral:lncRNA from 1 species
CGUGUAAUUUCAUCUCGUUCCUCCUGACGCUCAAAGUAUCCUCUAAUAGCAUUGAGGACUCCGUGUACGUCAUCUUGAGCAUUGACGGGUGCUGGGGCAUGAGGGGCAUUCUGCGAAGUCGGAGAAGCUGGCCCAUAAUUAGUGACAGGUGUACGGGAGGACUGGGUUUGUUUUACGAUGUGUGGAGCUUCCAAGUUAUUAUUUGUUUGAAC